rnacentral:rRNA from 1 species
GACGAACGCUGGCGGCGUGCUUAACACAUGCAAGUCGAGCGGAAAGGCCCUUUCGGGGGUACUCGAGCGGCGAACGGGUGAGUAACACGUGAGUAAUCUGCCCUUGGCUUUGGGAUAACUACCGGAAACGGUGGCUAAUACCGGAUACGACCACUCCUUGCAUGAGGUGGUGGUGGAAAAGUUUUUCGGCCAGGGAUGUGCUCGCGGCCUAUCAGCUUGUUGGUGGGGUAAUGGCCUACCAAGGCUUCGACGGGUAGCCGGCCUGAGAGGGUGACCGGCCACACUGGGACUGAGACACGGCCCAGACUCCUACGGGAGGCAGCAGUGGGGAAUAUUGGACAAUGGGCGGAAGCCUGAUCCAGCAACGCCGCGUGAGGGAUGACGGCCUUCGGGUUGUAAACCUCUUUCAGUACCGACGAAGCGCCGAUGAUGGUGGUGACGGUAGGUACAGAAGAAGCACCGGCCAACUACGUG